rnacentral:rRNA from 1 species
UACGUAGGGUGCGAGCGUUGUCCGGAAUUACUGGGCGUAAAGAGCUCGUAGGUGGUUUGUCGCGUUGUCCGUGAAAACUCACAACUCAAUUGUGGGCGUGCGGGCGAUACGGGCAGACUGGAGUACUGCAGGGGAGACUGGAAUUCCUGGUGUAGCGGUGGAAUGCGCAGAUAUCAGGAGGAACACCGGUGGCGAAGGCGGGUCUCUGGGCAGUGACUGACGCUGAGGAGCGAAAAGCGUGGGGAGCGAACAGG